ACCCAGGGGCCGCGCUGGGCUGUGGGAUGCGGACCCAGGAGCUAGGUAGAGGGAAGAGGACGCGGGAAGCAGCCAUGGCUGAGGUCGGAGAGUCUGGGGCUUGGCUGCCAUCAGUCUCCCAGGCGAGGACGUGACUGCUGAGAGUCUGGAUCGUAGGAGGUUUAGGCGUUCGGAAAGCGGGUUGUGGAUACCUGCCUGGGCUUUUGAUUUGAGCCCUGGCUUCGGCCUUACUCCUGUUUCUCCCCGCCAAGGACGGCUUCAGUCGUUCUUGGAAUUGGCGGGGUUUGGACCUUAACUUUAUUUGAGAAUCUACUGCGUGUAAGCACGGUUGUCCUGCGGAGGGAUCUCUUCAGAGCGUGUGAGCUUGAGGGUGGGGGAAUGAGGGCUUGGAGACGCUGAGGUGUGGUCCUUACCCACGUGACACAUUGGAGGUAAAUCCGCUUUAUUAAUUAUGCUAAGCUUUUAUAUAAUCCAGAAGUUUAGGCUUUGGUAGGGUCGGUCGCCCAUUGACUGAAUUAAACGCUCUUGUAUUGAACUCCUUCUAAGUACCCUUUACGGAAACUAGUCCUUAUUCUUUAGGAACUCCUAACAGGACUGGUGGGAGAGAGGGGAGAAAACGUGAGUGGAUGAGGUGGCAGGUGAUGCGUGCUGUGGUGGAAGAAAAUGCUGUGAGAGUCAGAGAAAGGUUUGACUGGGGGAAAUAGAAAAGGUGACAUUUGAGUAAUCCUAAAAUCAAACUUAGGGAUUCUCCCCAUUGAAUGGAAUAAUGGAAGGCACUCCAGUGUAGCAGAGUGUACGUACAGACCAGAGAAAUUAGGAAGAUUUAUCUGUUGGUUAUGGCUGGAGCAAAGCUUGAAUUCCAUGUUAGGAGUCUUUCUGGAUCUUAAAACACAACGUAAGAUAGGUUCCACAAGAUAGUAUUCACAUGCUUCUGUAAUUCAGAGGAAGGCCAGAUACUUCCUUUUGGAUGAUGGCUUUAUGCAAAGUGUCAUUUUGGAGGGUCACAAACUGGAGAGGUGGGAUUGCUGUAUGGGAAGGAUUUCUACUAAGGGAAAUAAGAACUUCCUGCAUGGAAGGCACAAGGUCAAAUAGCGGAUUUAAGAAGAGUAUGGGUUGGGUAGACUGUAAAGUACAUGUUAGGGUUAUGGUAUUAAAGAUACAUCUAGGGCUGGGGAUGUGGCUCAAGUGGUAGCACGCACGCUUGCCUGGCAUGCGUGCGGCCUGGGUUCGAUCCUCAGCACCACAUACAAACAAAGAUGUUGUGUCCGCCGAGAACUAAAAAAUAAAUAAAUAUUUAAAAAAAUUAAAAAAAAAAAAGAUACAUCUAGGUCUGUUUUGUUUUGGUUUGGGUGCUGGGGAUUGAACUCAAGGCUUCAUGCGUGGGUCAGUAUUGAAACAUGGAGAAUGCUAAGCAUAGCAGUUUGGGUUUUAUUUCUUGGACCAUGGGGAAUAAUUGAAUGCUUGAGAGUAAUGAAAUAAUCACACCCCCAUAUUUUAAGGUUAGUGAGGGUGUACGUUGGAUGGGAGAAAAGCUGGAGGCAGUCUGGUCUAGUAGAAGGAACAAAAAUCAGGCAGUCAUGGGCUGGGGUUGUAGCUCAUUGGUAGAGUGCUUGCCUACCACAGGUGAAGCACUGGGUUUGAUCCCAGCAUCACAUAAAAAUAAAUAAAUAAAUAAAGUUAUUGUGUCCAUCUACAACUAAAAAUAUAUAUGAUUCAGAGCUCAGGAUUCCUAUAGAUUUCAUGAUUUUAGGCAGAUUUAUUUAAAUUAAGCUCUCAGUUCCCCCUCCCCACCAUUUCUGACAUAUUUGUUACACUUGUAAGGGAUGAAGAGCUAGCCCAUGUUUGACAGGAACCUAGUUAGUUUCUGUCUCCUUAUAGGGCUUAGUUGUUGAAAGACAAACAUAGAUCAAAAGCUGUCCAUUUUUAAUUAUGGAAUAUCAGUCUAUUGACAUUUUACAGACAGGAAGUAAGUAUAUGAUCACUCCAGAAUUGUAAUUCACAUAUUGACAAUAUGAUGACAAAUGUGUGGAGAAAGUGACUUUGUGAUACUGGUAUUUUUCUAUGUAAGCAAUAGUAUACAACCAGAAUAUAUCACUUGGAAUAAACUAAGUGUAGUCAGCUUUCUCAUUCAGAAAUUCAUUAUUCACGUUGUAGAUUACUCAGGAUUUGCCUUGCUUGCCAAUGGCCUCCCACAUUAGUGAAGGAUAGGAACCUGGAUGCUAUUAGUAGAAAAAUAAAUCUGAUAAUCAGGCCCAGUUUCUCUCUGAUGUUAAUUUGCUGUAGACUUUUGGCAAAUCAUAGCCUGAGUCUUGGAUUCUUAAAUUAGAAGAUUAUUGUAUAAAAAUUUUGUGACUGUAUUUUUGCUUGUUUUAGAGAGAGGGUCUUGGCUGACCUCUAAUUCCUGACCUCAAGUGAUUGGAAUUCCUGCCUUAGCCUCUCAGGUAGCUGGGACCACAGGCAUGUGUUACCAUGUCCAAAAGCAUUGUGAUUUUUAUCUUUCCUGGUAGAAUUAUAAAUUGAAUUUUAUAUUUAAUGAACUGGACUUUAUAAUAUUCUUUUUUGUUUUCUUUUUGGUACCGGGGAUUGAACUCAGGGGUACUUGACCACUGAGCCACAUCCCUAUCUCUAUUUUGUAUUUAGAGACAGGGUCUCACUGAGUUGCUUAGUGCCUCGCAGUUGCUGAGGCUGGCUUUGAACUUGUGAUCCUCCUGCCUCAGCCUUCUGAGCUACUGGGAUUACAGGGGUGGGCCACAGUGCCCGGCUUGGACUUUAUAAUUUAGUAAGAAAGUCUUUUCUAAAGCUUCUGCUUUAGAACUAUAAAUUCUAUAAAUUUUUUUUUUUUUUUUGGUGCCGGGGAUUGAACUCAUGGGCAUUUAACCACUGAACCACAUCCCCAUCCUUUUUUUGUAAUUUAUUCAAAGACAGGGUCUCAAUGAGUUGCUUAGGGCCUUGAUAAAUUGCUGAGACUGGUUUUGAACUCGGUGAUCUUCUAUCUCAGCCUCCCAAGCUGCUGGAAUUACAGGCAUGUGUCACCACACCCGGCUUAUAAAUUCUUAACAAACAUCCCUGAGAUUUUAUCAUGCAUGGAGUCAGGGCUCUUUUAAACAAAACAAAAAAAGUGUUUCUGAAUGGUAAAUGCUUCUCUACUUGCCUCUGCUUCAAAAUAAAAAAGUUCCCCCCCAAAACAAAACUUGGUCAAGUUUGCAUUUUUGUACAGCAGAGUUACUGAAAGCAUAGUAAAGAUAAAAUAUUGGAAUCCCAUGAUUGAAAAAUAUCUAAAAAGAAACUUGUUUUUCAUAGGUAAGCCUAAGUUUUCUUGGAUGUGUAGGACAUUCAGCUGCUUUUAGGUAAUACAAGGUGAAAUGUAGUGAUGCAAUGAUGAGCGAAGUAUAGACUGACCUGGUAUUGCCAUUGCUUUAAUGUUGGCUUUGACCAGGGUAUGAUCCCUUAAUCUUCUCUCUGAGCUGAUUCUGGUUGUGGUUUUAGAACACACAUGUUCUAGCUUGUUUGGAUAUUGGUGUUAUUAUGUAUAAGUUUGUUUUUGAUAAAUGUUUGAAUUAUUGAUACUUUCAUAUUUCUCUUUUUAGGUUGAGGUGGAAAAUCUGGCUUUGAAAUCUUCGUGAAGGACUGCAUCAUUUCAAUCCUGAAUCUGAAUCAGUUCCCUUAUUGACUGUAUGAAAAAUGUUUUCAUUAACUGUGUUAUUUGUUUGGUAAAACCUUGGAGGUUUUAUAAAUUAAAAAAAAUAUAUGUACUCUUUUGUGGU
rnacentral:lncRNA from 1 species